UUUUUAAACACUUACCUUUAAAUAAUGGAUCCAGACAAGGGAUUAAGGCAUGUAGCAUGUUAAAUGGAAUUUAUGCCUCUGCAGUUUUCCAUCGAUUUUCGUCUUGCGCCAACAACAGACUGGGGAUGAAAUACCAAACAUACAAACUGGAUUUGAUAUUAA